UACAGAGGGGGCGAGCGUUGUUCGGAAUUACUGGGCGUAAAGCGCGUGUAGGCGGCUUAGCAAGUCGGGCGUGAAAGCCCUCGGCUCAACCGAGGAAGUGCACCCGAAACUGCUGAGCUUGAGUGCCGGAGAGGAUGGCGGAAUUCCCCAAGUAGAGGUGAAAUUCGUAGAUAUGGGGAGGAACACCGGUGGCGAAGGCGGCCAUCUGGACGGUAACUGACGCUGAGACGCGAAAGCGUGGGGAGCAAACAGG
rnacentral:rRNA from 1 species